rnacentral:piRNA from 1 species
UAAAAGACGAAAUGCUUAAUUGGUUGC